rnacentral:rRNA from 1 species
CCACUUCGGGAUAAGCCUUGGAAACGGGGUCUAGUAGCGGAUAUGAGCUCUGCCUGCAUGGGUGGG